rnacentral:rRNA from 1 species
ACGGGAGGCAGCAGUGGGGAAUAUUGGGCAAUGGGCGCAAGCCUGACCCAGCAACGCCGCGUGAAGGAUGAAGGUCUUCGGAUUGUAAACUUCUUUAAUCGGGGAAGAAAAAAAUGACCUACCCGAAGAAUAAGCCACGGCUAACUACGUGCCAGCAGCCGCGGUAAUACGUAGGUGGCAAGCGUUAUCCGGAUUUACUGGGUGUAAAGGGCGCGUAGGCGGGGAUGCAAGUCAGAUGUGAAAUCUAUGGGCUUAACCCAUAAACUGCAUUUGAAACUGUAUCUCUUGAGUGCUGGAGAGGUAGAUGGAAUUCCUUGUGUAGCGGUGAAAUGCGUAGAUAUAAGGAGGAACACCAGUGGCGAAGGCGAUCUACUGGACAGUAACUGACGCUGAGGCGCGGAAGCGUGGGGAGCAAACAGGAUUAGAUACCCUGGUA